rnacentral:miRNA from 1 species
AUGUGGUCUCUUCUGGUCGGU